CGAUACUGACACUGAGGUGCGAAAGCGUGGGUAGCAAACGGAUUAGAUACCCCGGUAGUCACGCCGUAAACGAUGUCUACUAGCCGUUGGAGGACUUGAUCCUUUAGUGGCGCAGCUAACGCGAUAAGUAGACCGCCUGGGGAGUACGGUCGCAAGAUUAAAACUCAAAUGAAUUGACGGGGGCCCGCACAAGCGGUGGAGCAUGUGGUUUAAUUCGAAGCAACGCGAAGAACCUUACCUACUCUUGACAUCCAGUGAACUUUUGAGAGAUCAAUUGGUGCCUUCGGGAACACUGAGACAGGUGCUGCAUGGCUGUCGUCAGCUCGUGUUGUGAAAUGUUGGGUUAAGUCCCGUAACGAGCGCAACCCUUGUCCUUAGUUACCAUCAUUAAGUUGGGGACUCUAAGGAGACUGCCGGUGACAAACCGGAGGAAGGCGGGGACGACGUCAAGUCAUCAUGGCCCUUACGAGUAGGGCUACACACGUGCUACAAUGGCAUGUACAAAGGGUUGCCAAGCCGCGAGGUGGAGCUAAUCCCAUAAAGCAUGUCGUAGUCCGGAUUGGAGUCUGCAACUCGACUCCAUGAAGUCGGAAUCGCUAGUAAUCGUGAAUCAGAAUGUCACGGUGAAUACGUUCCCGGGCCUUGUACACACCGCCCGUCACACCAUGGGAGUGGGUUCCUCCAGAAGUAGAUAGCUUAACCUUCGGGAGGGCGUUUACCACGGAGUGAUUCAUGACUGGGGUGAAGUCGUAACAAGGUAGCCGUA
rnacentral:rRNA from 1 species